rnacentral:misc_RNA from 1 species
UCCAGCAGGCCAGAAUGGAGCCUUAGUUGCAGCAUCCAAACGAUGCAAAAUUGCUUCAUCUGCCUUCAUUAUGAAAAUUAAAAACCCUGCCAUAUCAAGAGAAGUCAUAAAUGACCCAGUAUACACUCUAUCAACAGCCAGUCCAUGCUCCAGCUGCAACUGAGGGACUGCUUUUCCAGCUGCAAUCAUCAGCUCCAUUACAGGAGUGGCACCAAGUCCAUUGACCAUGAGCAC